GACGAACGCUGGCGGCGUGCUUAACACAUGCAAGUCGAACGAAGAGCGAUGGAAGCUUGCUUCUAUCAAUCUUAGUGGCGAACGGGUGAGUAACGCGUAAUCAACCUGCCCUUCAGAGGGGGACAACAGUUGGAAACGACUGCUAAUACCGCAUACGAUCUAAUCUCGGCAUCGAGGAUAGAUGAAAGGUGGCCUCUACAUGUAAGCCAUCACUGAAGGAGGGGAUUGCGUCUGAUUAGCUAGUUGGAGGGGUAACGGCCCACCAAGGCGAUGAUCAGUAGCCGGUCUGAGAGGAUGAACGGCCACAUUGGGACUGAGACACGGCCCAGACUCCUACGGGAGGCAGCAGUGGGGAAUCUUCCGCAAUGGACGAAAGUCUGACGGAGCAACGCCGCGUGAGUGAUGACGGCCUUCGGGUUGUAAAGCUCUGUUAAUCGGGACGAAAGGCCUUCUUGCGAAUAGUGAGAAGG
rnacentral:rRNA from 1 species